UAGUGAAGAGUCAAACACAACUGAGCAACUAAUGCUUUCAACUUCAUUUAUGUGAAGUACAGAAAAAGGCACAGAUGGCGUGCACUGAGGCUCGGCGUUCCCCCCGGGAGUGGGCACAGGAAGCAGAAGGGCUUUGGGAGACAGCCUGCCUGCACCUGUUUCUCGUCUGGAUGGCGCCCGCACAGCGUGUCCACUUCGGACAUAUGCAGCCAACGGACACUCACUUCACUCUCACGUGCUGGAAUUACAGUGCAUUGCUGCACCCACAGUCAUCUGGAGCAGGGGGUCAGAGCAGCCACAGAGAACAAGUCUUGUGCUUUGUCUUUUUAUUAUUUUUUAUUUAUUGGUCCUACCAAAAUGACCCUUUACCCAGGCCCACUGUUCCUAUGUGCACUGGCUUUAUAGACACUUGUGCCAUAUGUCUGUGUCCCAACUGGUGACUGAUUUCCCCUUCCUAUUCCUUUUCCAUGCAGUGCCUCAUUUUCUCAUAAUCUGAAAGCCAUUUUUGUUUGUUUGGGUCUGUGUAAAAGUUCCUUGGCAGGAGAACAUGCAUAUGAUCUUAAAAUAAAGACAACAUUCUGACACUAA